rnacentral:Y_RNA from 1 species
GGCUAUCUGUGGUGUUGGGUCCUCUUUUAAAAUCUUCUAAUUGAUCACAACCAGUUACAGAUUCCUUUGUUCCUCCUCCACUCCCACUGCUUCACUUGAUCAGCCUUUU